rnacentral:lncRNA from 1 species
GAUUAAGUAGCCCUGUUAAGUUUUUACCUCUCUGAUUGGAGCUUAUUUUAACCUCAAUUAAGCCAUCAGCCUGGGUUUCUGAAGGCAGAGCAAUAGCAGAGCCAUUAUCAUUCUCCCCACCUUUUGUAUGAAAAUGAUGUUGAGGAUAGGUUGCUUUGGGGAUUGCUCUGUGGCAGGUAACCAACGCCGAGAAUCGGGAGGAUAAAUGGUGCCAGACUCCCAGAGGUGCCGUGGCACUGUGUAAUUAUUGUUCCAGACAGCUGAAAGCAGCAGGGUUUCUGGUUCCCCUGCUUAGUUUCAGUCUGCCAUGAUUGCUGGCACAGAAAGAUGCUGAUUGUAAGUAAACAUCAAUUAUGCCCUGCUACCCCACUGCUAACAUCUCUGGGCUUGCAAGAAACAGAAGCACAGUGCUGUGCUUGGCUCCUGCUACCAAAACCCACACCUAUAUGGAUUUCAGCUUCCAGGUUUUUGUCUUGCUUGGUCAAGGGACAUUGCUCCUAAAUUCCAUCCUCAUGAAUAACGCAGAAAAGGUUAUGAGAGUUAAACAAAGCACCAGUCCUUCCAAGAGCUCCAAAUGCCAGCAUGGCUGGAAGAAGCUGAUGGAGGGAGGAGGAUGGAAGGGGCAGAGGAGGGGGAAGUUCUCAGCCAGAACCCAGGAGCCAGAGUUGUUCCUCAGGAGCUCAGGUAGGAAACUUACUGUCCUUGAAACUGCUUUGCCAUUAAUUUAGAGAGGUCACAAAAUCACAAAACCCACGUGGCUGAUGCUGCUCCCCUGGGGCUUGGCCUCCAUCACAGCUGCCCAGGCAUCUCCACACACACAGAGCAUCCUCACUGCUGGAAUCUCACUGCCGGGCUGGGAAUGGCACCUGCAUCCUCUAAGCACCUUUGGCUUCCACAUCAGUUUGGCUAAAUAAUGAAGACACGCCACAGUUUCUGUGUUUUUCAAACAGAUAACAUGUCGCUGUCAAGGCAGGAUGGGAAUGAAGGAACUCCAGUCAGAAGGCUAAAUGAAGUGAACUCCAACUCAACUGAUUUAUUUCAAAAAUAAUAGAUGACAUUACAAAGUCACAAAGACAUCGCUGAGUUUAACAGAUGCAAAACUCAAAGCACUGAUCCAUUUUGAAGAUAAAAAUGUUAAUAAUGUAGUGUAUGUGAUAAAUAUAAAUUUUCUCUCCCAAAGCAAUGACAUUUCCUGAAUAAAAGUUGCUUGGACUUUACUUUCUAUCCA